GGCUGUGGCUCAGUGGUAGAGUGCCUGCUUAGCAUGUGUGAGGCACUGGGUUCAAUCCUUAGCACCA
rnacentral:tRNA from 1 species